UACGAAGGGGGCUAGCGUUGCUCGGAUUUACUGGGCGUAAAGGGCGCGUAGGCGGUUCGUACAGUCAGACGUGAAAUUCCUGGGCUCAACCUGGGGGCUGCGUUUGAUACGUGCGGACUUGAGUGCGGAAGAGGGUCGUGGAAUUCCCAGUGUAGAGGUGAAAUUCGUAGAUAUUGGGAAGAACACCGGUGGCGAAGGCGGCGACCUGGUCCGAUACUGACGCUGAGGAGCGAAAGCGUGGGGAGCAAACAGG
rnacentral:rRNA from 1 species